UAUGACCAAAUUGUGAUCUUUAUUUCAAUUUUGAUCAACUUCUUAACUUUCAGAUCUCAACCGUCGAUCAAAAAAUGAUCUAACGGCUAAGAUCAAAGUAUCCAUUCCUUCCUUUUAAAAAAACAAACAAAAACCCUAGACCUAAAAUAUUUUUCAAACCAGCCCCCCCCCCCUUCUCCCUCUUCUUUUUUCUCCAAACCCAUCAAAACCACCAUUUCCGACCACCUUCCAACCGGAGAUCCCCAUCUCCCUGCCAGCCAUAACCAACGCCGGACAUGCCAGAGAAAAAGGUCAGCCUUCCGCCACCAGUCGCCGCGGCGCAGCUGGCGAGGCCAGCCACCACGCUGGCCUCCAUCGAAUCAGCAAUCCUAGCACCGAUCACCAGCGCCACAGCCAUCACUGGCCGGCAGAAGUUGCACCCGCAGAAACCCACCAACUUUGAGAAGCUUUAACAAAGACGAGCAUCUCGUAUGGUUCGUCAGUGACUUCCCGUGGCUGAGAUCGAGUUAACUGAUAAGAUGGAACCUGAUUAUAGUUGGAUAUAUCAACGAAAUAUUGAUAACAGAAUGGGUGAUGCUGAGAUUGAAGAUACGGAUGAUGAGUUGUAGUUUUUAGUCUUUUGUAUGUUUUAUAGUUUGGAUUUGGAACCUCGAUAAAUUUUAUAAAUAAUUUAAUUUUUAAUGUUUGUAUUCUUAUGGUGGUUGAUUGAUUGUAUAUUAAAUGAUUGGUAGGUUGUAUUAUAAAUAAUUUGAUUUGA